UGCUUUCUUCAACUGUUCGUGAUAAGAUGUCGGUGGUUCAAUCUUUAUAUCCCAUGGUGCUAAUGUAUCUUCUAGAGGCCAUAUAUCUGCUGGAAUAAUUCUAUUUACCUGGCCUCCAGAAGAUACAUUAGCACCAUGGGAUAUAAAGAUUGAACCACCGACACCUUAUCAAAAAUAGUUGAAGAAAGCAU
rnacentral:pre_miRNA from 1 species